rnacentral:lncRNA from 1 species
UUGAUGUAGACAAGAUUCAUUGAUCUUCUAUGUUUAGUAAACAAUGUUCAAUAUCAUCAAUAAAAUGCAGCCUUAUCUCCUUAUCCCCAUCGGCUAAUUUAAAAAAAAUGUCCCAUAUCGAAAUCCCUUAAAUAACUUACCCCUCCAUGCUCUCCUUUUUUUUUCCAUCAUCACCCAUUGCUAGUAGACAAUAUCUGAGGUAAGUCCUAAACAAGCAACCCACUUAUACAGAUUGAAAGAUAUAGAACUUCUGG